CCAUCGAGCCGUUACGAUCGUCUGCUAAGAAUAUGCUGGACAUACUUUUUUUUUUCCAAGUCUUCCUGCUUCCUUAUGAAUGGGGUAGGGUCGUUCUUUCUGAUGGAGGCCUAGAAUUCCAUUAAAUACCAUCUUUGAGGACUCCUACCUCAUGAAGAUCUACUCAUGGUAUCGGACGUUUGGGGAUACCACACGGAAUAGCUUCUUAUAAGGUAAGAGAACCUUUUCCCCACCCUUAUUUUCAUGUGUUUAGAAAUACUGACACAAAACACAGUGAGAAAGUUCUUCUGUUAAGCUAUUCCCAGUGUAAACGGCGUGAGAAACAUCACAUUCUGAAACAAGUAUGCUAAAAACAACGGAGAACCGUCUCUUCCCGCAUCUUCCAAUGCCAU